rnacentral:rRNA from 1 species
GUUAGCCUACGGGGCGCAGCAGUGGGGAAUAUUGCGCAAUGGGCGAAAGCCUGACGCAGCGACGCCGCGUGAGGGAUGAAGGUCUUCGGAUCGUAAACCUCUGUCAGCAGGGAAGAACGGUCACUGUGCUAAUCAGCAGUGAAUUGACGGUACCUGCAAAGGAAGCAACGGCUAACUCCGUGCCAGCAGCCGCGGUAAUACGGAGGGUGCGAGCGUUAAUCGGAAUUACUGGGCGUAAAGCGCUCGUAGGCGGGAUGUCAAGUCAAGGGUGAAAUCCCCGAGCUCAACG